UGACCUGCCCCGCCCCCGCCCGCUCCUUCUUCCGGUCCCGUCAACGGUCGUUCUCGGCGCGCGGUUCCCGAGGCCGAGAUGGGAGUCUUCGAAUGAGGUCGGUCUCCCAGGCCACGUCUCUGGUGGUGGGUGACUGUUCAUCCAAAGAUGGUUACACGCACAUAAGUGCAGUUCCCAAUGAUUGACUUCUGGAGCCAUUCACGUUGGGUCUCCAAGUCAUCUUUCUCGUGAUGGGUAACAACUAUUCAAAGAUGAUUAUUCGUUGACCUUUUUUGUAACGGAUGUUGUACAUACAUGCAGCUCCCAGCGAUUGACGUCUGUAGAAUUCCAGCCUUGAAGAGGACCAUGUAUGUCCAUCUACAACCUCACUUUGGAUCACUCCAGGAAAGAUAUAUCAACCCUGAAAUAAUCGAGUACCUGAAAAUCAUUGCAGGAACAAUGGUACCCGCCCUGCCUGACUGCUGACAACAUUUAUGAUAUUGUAAUGUCCAAUUGUUGGCUAGCUGUGAGAAACUGCUUAAUUUAGUAAACUAAAGGAAGAUUCAUCUUGAAAUCGCACUGGGGGACGUGGACAUUUCCAGGACAUAAGGACCAGUUGGCUGUUUGUCUUUGAGUUGAGUACCUAGUAAUUGGGAUGGGAACCUGUGAAACCUUGGGACUUUGAUGUAUAUUUUAAUCCACCAUUUGGCUUCCUUUCAUAUUGCUUCUUAUUUGCUGCUUGUUUCAUAUGUCUUCAUUACAAGUCAUGGGGUAAAACUUUUAUUUUGCCUAAUUUAAUUGUUUGUACUUGCAGUUGUACAUGCUUUUCUGUACAAUUUCAUUUGGUAAAAAAAAUUACCAGCAUUUAACUUCACAAUAAAGAUUAUGAAGAAACUGUA